rnacentral:rRNA from 1 species
ACAUACGGCUGUAACCUGCAGAGAAUUCGGGAUCCCGGCCGCUUUCCCUUGGACAAGCUGCCUAGGGCUAGAUUAGUAGUUGUCUCGGCGACGAGCAGCGAAUUCCUGGCAUUGUAUGUU